CAGUCGCCACGGGAAUACGAAGGGGGCUAGCGUUGUUCGGAUUUACUGGGCGUAAAGGGUGCGUAGGCGGAUUGUUAAGUCAGGGGUGAAAUCCCGAGGCUCAACCUCGGAACUGCCUUUGAUACUGGCGAUCUUGAGUCCGGGAGAGGUGAGUGGAACUGCGAGUGUAGAGGUGAAAUUCGUAGAGAUGUGGAGGAACACCAGUGGCGAAGGCGACUCUCUGGUCUGUGACUGACGCUGAGGAGCGAAAGCGUGGGGAGCGAACAGGAUUAGAUACCCCUGUAGUCCCUGUCUCUUAUAC
rnacentral:rRNA from 1 species